GACGAACGCUUGCGGCGUGCUUAACACAUGCAAGUCGAACGGAAAGGCCCUGCUUUUGUGGGGUGCUCGAGUGGCGAACGGGUGAGUAACACGUGAGUAACCUGCCCUUGACUUUGGGAUAACUUCAGGAAACUGGGGCUAAUACCGGAUAGGAGCUCCUGCUGCAUGGUGGGGGUUGGAAAGUUUCGGCGGUUGGGGAUGGACUCGCGGCUUAUCAGCUUGUUGGUGGGGUAGUGGCUUACCAAGGCUUUGACGGGUAGCCGGCCUGAGAGGGUGACCGGCCACAUUGGGACUGAGAUACGGCCCAGACUCCUACGGGGGGCAGCAGUGGGGAAUAUUGCACAAUGGGCGGAAGCCUGAUGCAGCAACGCCGCGUGCGGGAUGACGGCCUUCGGGUUGUAAACCGCUUUCGCCUGUGACGAAGCGUGAGUGACGGUAAUGGGUAAAGAAGCACCGGCUAACUACGUGCCAGCAGCCGCGGUGAUACGUAGGGUGCGAGCGUUGUCCGGAUUUAUUGGGCGUAAGGGCUCGUAGGUGGUUGAUCGCGUCGAAAGUGUAAUCUUGGGGCUUAACCCUGAGCGUGCUUUCGAUACGGGUUGACUUGAGGAAGGUAGGGGAGAAUGGAAUUCCUGGUGGAGCGGUGGAAUGCGCAGAUAUCAGGAGGAACACCAGUGGCGAAGGCGGUUCUCUGGGCCUUUCCUGACGCUGAGGAGCGAAAGCGUGGGGAGCGAACAGGCUUAGAUACCCUGGUAGUCCACGCUGUAAACGGUGGGUACUAGGUGUGGGGUCCAUUCCACGGGUUCCGUGCCGUAGCUAACGCUUUAAGUACCCCGCCUGGGGAGUACGGCCGCAAGGCUAAAACUCAAAGGAAUUGACGGGGCCCCGCACAAGCGGCGGAGCAUGCGGAUUAAUUCGAUGCAACGCGUAGAACCUUACCUGGGUUUGACAUGGAUCGGGAGUGCUCAGAGAUGGGUGUGCCUCUUUUGGGGUCGGUUCACAGGUGGUGCAUGCCUGUCGUCAGCUCGUGUCGUGAGAUGUUGGGUUAAGUCCCGCAACGAGCGCAACCCUUGUUCACUGUUGCCAGCACGUUAUGGUGGGGACUCAGUGGAGACCGCCGGGGUCAACUCGGAGGAAGGUGGGGAUGACGUCAAGUCCUCAUGCCCCUUAUGUCCAGGGCUUCACGCAUGCUACAAUGGCUGGUACAGAGAGUGGCGAGCCUGUGAGGGUGAGCGAAUCUCGGAAAGCCGGUCUCAGUUCGGAUUGGGGUCUGCAACUCGACCUCAUGAAGUCGGAGUCGCUAGUAAUCGCAGAUCAGCAACGCUGCGGUGAAUACGUUCCCGGGGCU
rnacentral:rRNA from 1 species